AUCUUUGUGACUCUAAACCAAUUCUCAGCUCCUCCGCCAGACAACUCACCAGAUAAAACCUUUGCAUUUGCAGCAGAAAGUGAAGCACCUUAAGAUUAAAGAAAUUCCAGGGACUAAUAUUGAGAUGAACCAGGCAUGGAGACCAAGCUGCAAAAUUCCAGAAAUGACCUCCAGGUUGUUAGUCUACAACCCAGCCAUCGUCAAGAUAACAUUAGACUGCGUUCCAGGUGGACCAUGACUCAAGAUAGCCACCAGACCAAGGCACGGACACCUAGCACCCAGCACCACUCCUGCAUGCCUCCCACUCUAAGUUCCCCUUUAUAAACACCUCUCCACAGUCGAAAGUUUGAAAUCGUCUUUUAAGGGCAUGAGCUUGGCCAUUCCCAGAUCUUGGCAUUUGAAUAAAGUAGCUCUCUGUUCAUCACACCCCGCUUCUCGUGUUUUCAGCCUCUGAGUGGAGCAGCCAGACUUGCGUGUGGUGACGCUACUGUAUGGCUACAUCAAACAGAAAUAGAGACCAAAGAAGAGAAUGAGGAGAGUAAAGUUAGCAGAAGUGGAAAAAUA
rnacentral:lncRNA from 10 species